UUCCGGUUGAUCCUGCCGGACCCUACUGCUAUCGGGAUGAGACUAAAACAUGCUAGUUGUAUGUUGGGAGCGCGGCAAACGGCUCCGUAACACGUAGUUAAUCUGCCCUUUGGAUGGGAAUAACCCCGGGAAACUGGGGCUAAUACCUGAUAGGCGAAACGAUCUGGAAUGGCGUUUCACUGAAAUAAAUUUGAACCUAAGGAUGAGACUGCGACCGAUCAGGUUGUUGGUGGGGUAACGGCCUACCAAGCCGAUAACCGGUACGGGCCCUGAGAGGGGGAGCCCGGAGAUGGGAACUGAGACAAGGUCCCAGACCCUACGGGGUGCAGCAGUUGCGAAACCUCUACAAUGCACGAAAGUGUGAUAGGGUUAUCCCGAGUGCCGUCCGCUGAGGAUGGCUUUUCUCUGCUGUAAGAAGGCGGAGGAAUAAGGCGAGGGCAAGAUCUGGCGUCAGCCGCCGCGGUAAUACCAGCCCCCUGAGUGAUAGGGACGAUUAUUUAGCCUAAAGCGUUCGUAGCCGGUUUAACAAGUCUUUCGUUAAAUCUAACGACUCAAUCGUUAGGCCGCGGAAGAUACUGUUAGGCUCGAGGGCGGGAGAGGUCGACGGUAUUUUCGGGGGAGGGGUGAAAUCCAAUAAUCCCGGGAGGACCACCAGUGGCGAAGGCGGUCGACCAGAACGCGCCUGACGGUGAUGGACGAAAGCUGGGGGAGCGAACCGGAUUAGACACCCGGGUAGUCCCAGCUGUAAACGAUGCGAGCUAGGUGUUGGGGUAGCUACGAGCUGCUCCAGUGCCGCAGAGAAGUCGUUAAGCUCGCCGCUUGGGGAGUACGGCCGCAAGGCUGAAACUUAAAGGAAUUGGCGGGGGAGCACCACAAGGGGUGAAGCCUGCGGUUUAAUUGGAUUCAACGCCGGA
rnacentral:rRNA from 1 species